AGUGCAAGCUGGGCCUUGAGAGAAGGGGCUCGGGGGCAAACGAAGCAGCUGCAAAGCUGGCGCCUGCCUUGGGAGCACACCCGUGUGCUGGGGACCGGGCUUAUACCACCCCCGGCAGUCCCUGGAGAAGGGGCUCCGACGGGCCCACAGGGAGUCCGGCUAUCACCGCGGCACGUCCGUGGGACCAUUGCAGAGACAUCUCCAGCUGAGAUGGAGGCCCCGCUGUGCCAGGCAAACCCAGAGACUGCCCCUGCCCCAAGGAGCUGAACAGAUGGGCUGCUGCUGCAGAUGGGGAAACCGAGGCAUGGAGGGAUGACACACCUUUGGCCAACAUCCCAAGGCCACGAUCGCCCAGGUCUGCUAGACCAGCCUGCCCCACUGCCACCCAUGAUGCUCUGUGGGUCAGGAUCCAGCUCUCCCCCAGCUCAGCCUGACCAGGGUUUCCUCUGCCGUUAUCCAGGGAGGGAGGUGGGGGCGCGGCAUCCUUCUUGGGGGAGCAGAGAGAUGCCUGAGCCCACCAUUAUUUAAGCUCCAUCGGGGUUUUUCCUGACACGGCUCUGUGGCGUCACGAUCCACAAUUAACAGUAAGCAGGAUACAAUUAGCUCCGUCAGCAGCACCCCUGGGGUCACCCCGCUGGCAUCUGGCUCCACAGCCCCCGUUGCUGCCGGGAAGCGGGUCAUUUCACUGCCAUCUCCUGUGCCCACGAGGGGCAGACACAGCACCCGGAGCCACCGGUGCCCUCCCCAGCUCAGCACAGGGCGGUGUGUCCGGAGCAGGGCACUGGGCCCAGCAAGGGGAUCAGGUCAGAAAGACUUUUAAAGCGUCCGUAAAUCUCGCUCAUGCAAACAGUCACGGAAGGACAUGGGGUGAUGGCAUUUCCUCCUGGCUGGCCGGUCCCCUCACCACCAGGCCCUGAGAGCUGCCAGUAUCAGGCUGUCCGGGAUGCCCCAGUCCGAUGGGAGACGUGCUUCGGAGAGGACAUGAGGGGGGAAGGCCGAGGGGUACGUCCCGUUCUGCCUCCCUGGCUCCCCCCAGGCGGCUUCCCGCUGGCCUCUUGUGCAGGCAGCGAUUGGACCGGGUGCGAAUCUCCAGCCCAAACUGGUGCCACAGCCCCCAGGCACUCAGGGUCAGCUCUGCUGUGCUUCGUGGGGUGGCUAGGGGUCUUCUGCUUGUGCUCCACAAUGGUAUGAGCAGCCAAGGGGGUGCGGACAGGUCACCGAUAAGUAUGGCCAUUAAUUAUAUGCAUCCUGGCACUCUCCAGCAUUGAUCGGCUGAAGGAAGCAUGUGGAUGUGAGCGCUCAGACAGCAUCCAAGCUUUAGCCUGGGAGAGCCUCGGCCUGGGAGGAGGCUGCGGGGGAGAAACGGCUGGAGAAGAGCAGAAGCCCGCGGCGCUCGGGCAGACUGGACGGCAGGGAGCAGGGCCAGUCCUUGUGCCUCGGAGCCGAUGGUUGCAGAAGGGCAGCUCUCGGCUGGGGCGGGACACGGCUUCUAACUCCCCCGGGGAGAAACCCUGCAGCCUAAAGGUAGCCGGCAUCCCGCCGGCUGGACCGUGCUGUGCUCAGCCCGGCGGCGAGGGGCAGGGGCUGGAGGUGUGCCCCUUGCCCCGCACCGUGCGGGGCCAGACCUGGCUGAGACGGGACGCUAGCUCGUGCCACUUCAUGCCCUCCGCGCUGGUCCGGGGGCAGCAGCGCUGGUGCCAGGCCGGCCUGUCGGAGCCCCCGGCGGACUGGAGUCCGGCCUCGCCGGCUGAUAAGAUGUGCUCCUGCUUCUAGCCGGCGGCGUAUCCCCUUUCUCUAUCGGGCAGCCGGCAGCCAGGCUGGCGGGCCCCGGGGAGGGUCUCGUUUCAGCAGCAAGCAAAGCAGCGCGCGGCCUGGCGAGGCCUCCGAAGAGGACGGCUCGGGGGAAAAGCCGGCGGGGGAGACGGUCCACAUUUCAGGAGGCUUCGAGGAAGAUCAGACCCCGUUCAACAGAAGCAUUAGGGGACUCCUGUGCUGUCUGCCUGAUGCGACGUGAACCCGAAGCCCGUGGGAUCCGCCGGGGACCUGCUGAUUCGCUCUGCCUUCAAACCCUCUCCUCUGGGCUCUGGCUCCUUCCCCGGCUCCCGUCCUGUCCCCGCAGGCUUUGGGCUCUGUGAGAAACCCCCUUGGAAAUGGCUCCCACGCCCAUCGUGACCCCUGCCAACGCUGAUCAGCGUUUACUGUAUUUUUUCGCAUACCACGCGCCCCCCAGACACACACCUUGCUUUGGGAAGGCAGAAUGAAGAAAAAGAAAAAGACUUUUCCUUUGAAUCAAACUGGAUUCGUGUUCCCUAUUGAAGGGAGAGGCAAGGAUUUCUUAAGGGGAUCUCUGUUACUUGACCCACUACAUAGCUGGGAUAGAGUCAGAUCAGCUUUCAAAUGCAAGGCAUCCAUUGUCGCCCUAAGAAAUCCUUGCCGCUGGCAUCAUUCCUGGACCGUCGUGUCUGCAACAUCACCCUGGCACUCCCCUAUUUAAGACGCACGCUGCAAUUCUCAGUUGCUAAUUUUGGGGCAAAGACUUUGAGCUUCGUGCAGCCCCGUUUCUAAGCAGAUCCCUCACCAGAGGCUGCCAACACCGAUAGCCUCUGGGUUUCACAAGGCUCCGGGAGCUGGUGAUUGAAGGAAAACCGAAACCACGUUCAGCCUGGGCCAACAUGGGCGGCAGAUGUCGAUGGGGAUGUGUCUUCCACCUCCCCCCUUAACGCUGCAGGGAGUUUCAGCUGUCGGUGCUUUCUCUCCCUCCUGCUUUCCCCUGGGCACAGCGAGUGGCUCCAGCCCUUCCCCCCGGGGCCAUGGAGCGGCUGGAAAAUGUUACCCCGGACACAUCUGGCUCUGCAGGAUGGGGCCCUGCUCUCGGCCUCCCCCCGCCUGCUUCGCCGGGGAGCUGAGCUUUGCUGCAUCAUGAGCAAAAAAAAAAAAAAGAAAAGAAAAAAAAAGAGGCUUCUGCAGCCUGGGGAGAAAGAGCCUGUGCACAGAUAAUAAAGCAAAGGGGAGUCAA